AUUAUUUUGACUUCAUUGAUGAACCAUUCCAUUUGCAGCAUUCUCUGGUGAACUGCAGCUGCGGCCGAAUUUGAUUGUGUGCAUCACCCUGCAGAUAUUUUGAAAUUUUGUGGACGUUUCUGCUGUGCUGCGUUCCUGCUCCGCCUGUGUAUUGCUCCGCCCGUGUCCCUGUUGCGCCUUUGCAUUAGUGUGUGCGUUGUGCUUUAGAUACGUUUAAAUUGUUUGUAUGCUUCUGCUGUGCUGCGUUCCUGCUUCACCCGUGUAUUAGAUUGCUGCGUUCCUGUUAAUAUACACAUCGUCGUUUAAAGUACGAAACCGCGUAACUGACAUUUGCUGCUAAAAAUUGGAUUUGCUCACACAAGUUCUGGGCUCAAUCCU